rnacentral:tRNA from 1 species
GUUGGACGUAGCUUAAUGGCAAAGCACCUGAUUGUGGAUCAGGGGAUGCGGGUUCAAUUCCCGUCGUCCACCCCA